rnacentral:rRNA from 1 species
CAUGCCUUAGUACGGCGAGUGAGCGGCAAAGCUCAAAUUUGAAAUCUGGCGUCUUCGCACGUCCGAGUUGUAAUUUGAAGAAGGCGACUUUGUAGCUGGUCCUUGUCUAUGUUCCUUGGAACAGGACGUCAUAGAGGGUGAGAAUCCCGUGUGGCGAGGAUCCCAGUUAUUUGUAAAGUGCUUUCGACGAGUCGAGUUGUUUGGGAAUGCAGCUCUAAGUGGGUGGUAAAUUCCAUCUAAAGCUAAAUAUUGGCGAGAGACCGAUAGCGAACAAGUACAGUGAUGGAAAGAUGAAAAGAACUUUGAAAAGAGAGUGAAAAAGUACGUGAAAUUGUUGAAAGGGAAGGGCAUUUGAUC